UUUGUCGGAGAACAAAACCCGGGACGAGUCCCGGACUGCGUGUAUCCGAAGAAAAAGCAUCGGCUAACUCCGUGCCAGCAGCCGCGGUAAUACGGAGGAUGCGAGCGUUAUCCGGAUUUAUUGGGUUUAAAGGGUGCGUAGGCGGUCCGUUAAGUCAGCGGUAAAAUUGCGGGGCUCAACCCCGUCGAGCCGUUGAAACUGGCAGACUUGAGUUGGCGAGAAGUACGCGGAAUGCGCGGUGUAGCGGUGAAAUGCAUAGAUAUCGCGCAGAACUCCGAUUGCGAAGGCAGCGUACCGGCGCCAGACUGACGCUGAGGCACGAAAGCGUGGGGAUCGAACAGGAUUAGAUACCCUGGUAGUCCACGCAGUAAACGAUGAAUGCUGGUUGUCCGGGUCGAAUGAGACCUGG
rnacentral:rRNA from 1 species